ensembl:lncRNA
CAAAGUUUUAAUUUGAUGUAAAAUGAAUAGAAGUCAAUUACUGUAUAUAGUGACUAUUAAGUCUAAUAUAUAUACCCUAGUAAGCUAUAGUACUUUUUCCUUUGGGAAGGUACCAUCUGUGCAGUCUGCAAUUUUGUUGAAGAAAGAUGUUGAAUCUAUUUAAUAUUUCUUGAAAAAUAAUUGAUUUCUGUGCAUUUUUUUUCCACACUGCAUCAAAUUAAGGUUGAUUACGUUGAUUAAGCAUCAUGAGGUGGAGUGUGAGGGGUGGUUCCCUAUUUUUUAUUUAUUUAUUUUUGUUGUUGCUGGGAGUUGGAACCCUAUUAGUUAGGUUGCUUAAUAUUUAUGCUAAGUACUCUUUAAAAUACCAGAAUAGGGAGGAUGGUGUAGGUUUAAGUUUAUUAGAUUGAUCAGUAUUGCUGAACUAUGAAAUAUUUUUUUUUUGCAUACAGGUAUAACAGAAUAGCUUUAGUGUAGUUGUUGUUUUAAACUUGAGUAUGAACUUAUACAAAAUGCAGCAAGAUAUUUAAAAAACAGUUUUGUUGAUUAAAAAACACUAUAUCGGAUUCAUAUCGGUAUCGGCAGAUAUCCAAAUUUAUGAUAUCGGUAUCGUAUCGGACAUAAAAAAGUGGUAUCGUGCCAUCUCUAGUAUGUAUGUGCAUCCAUCAGGAGCGUGCUUCAGCAUCAUCCGUGGGCGCUGCCUCUCCCCUGGUAUUCCCUGGUAUUCCCCUGGUAGGCCCGGUAUUCACCCGGUAUGCCCAUGUAUCCUUAGCUUGGUUCCCCCUAGCUGGCCCUUUGCUCUCCACUUGGUUGGU